CGUAUAGGUGGAACGAUGGGCCCCCGUAUACCGUAGCGCCAAUGUACCAACAAUUCCCAGAACACCGAGCAUAUCCCUACCACAUUCCAUUUAUAGGAGGGACGCCAAGCUUCGCCAUCUUGAACACCCUUGAACCAUUUAUAAAACGCAGUUAGAGAGUGCAAUUAUUUGCAGUUCUCCGUUUGUUACGUAAAAAGGAAUCAAAAAACACAAAUAAUGUCUCGUUAUCGUGAGUGGGACUUGUCGUGCAAAGUGUACGUAGGAAAUCUGGGUUCGUCCGCAAGUAAACACGAAAUCGAGAGCGCGUUUAGCAAAUAUGGGCCCCUGAGAAACGUAUGGGUGGCCAGGAAUCCGCCCGGAUUCGCAUUCGUGGAGUUCGAAGAUGCCAGAGACGCAGAAGACGCGGUGCGCGGACUGGACGGAACACGGUGCUGUGGAACCAGAGUUCGUGUGGAGAUGUCAAAUGGAAGGUCCAGGAGAGGAGGUGGUGGAAGAAGAGGCCCAUCCAGAUAUUCGAGGGCAUCAGCGCCUCUGCUGUUGUUUUCUCCCCCCUGAGACUGAGACCCAAUCCCUUCCAACGCCUGCCCGAAUAAAUGGCCACACAUCAAUAUCAUCUAAACAUCGACACACAAUCAACAAUCUCGGCCUACUGCGUCCCACCAGUCGCCAGACGACGUGGUGGCGACACCGUCCGACCGAUCGUCCGCUCGUGCGCCUUCCGGCCUUUCGUAACGAAAAAAACCGCACGCGACUUCUCACCACCAAUCAACCAACCAACCAAUCAACCACCAGCUACGAUACAACCUACUACUUCUACUCUAAGUGUUAGCGCCCCCAUGUGUGCACCGGCACGACGGCGAACCGUUGUUGGCCAACGACACGACUUCGUUCUCUAUGCCCAAUCAGCAAAACAACUCUAUUUAAUCAACUCUUCCAAAACAACUAUCAUAUCUGGUCCCGAUCACCGAGGAGAUCCAGAUCUAGAUCCAGGUCUCGUAGCCGAGACGGACGCAGCAGAUCAGACUCGAGAGACAGACGUUAAUAAAAAACUAUUAUGUCUGAAGAUUAUUUCUUAAUUUAAGACUUAUUGAACAAUUUUAAUUCUCUUCAUUUUUGGAGUAAAUAUAGCGACUUUUAUGUUUAACAAUACAUUUUUUUAUUUACUUAUAUGUAUGUAUAAUUUGAGAAAUUAAAUCCUAGAAUUAUUA